CUCUGAAGCUACAUGAAGUUUGGAGGUGUGUAGUGAUGAACUCUGAAGCUACAUGAAGUUUGGAGGUGUGUAGUGAUGAACUCUGAAGCUACAUGAAGUUUGGAGGUGUGUAGUAGUGAUGAACUCUGAAGCUACAUGAAGUUUGGAGGUGUGUAGUAGUGAUGAACUCUGAAGCUACAUGAAGUUUGGAGGUGUGUAGUAGUGAUGAACUCUGAAGCUACAUGGAGUUUGGAGGUGUGUAGUAGUGAUGAACUCUGAAGCUACAUGAAGUUUGGAGGUGUGUAUUGAUGAACUCUGAAGCUACAUGAAGUUUGGAGGUGUGUAGUAGUGAUGAACUCUGAAGCUACAUGAAGUUUGGAGGUGUGUAGUGAUGAACUCUGAAGCUACAUGAAGUUUGGAGGUGUGUAGUAGUGAUGAACUCUGAAGCUACAUGAAGUUUGGAGGUGUGUAGUAGUGAUGAACUCUGAAGCUACAUGGAGUUUGGAGGUGUGUAGUAGUGAUGAACUCUGAAGCUACAUGAAGUUUGGAGGUGUGUAGUAGUGAUGAACUCUGAAGCUGCAUGAAGUUUGGAGGUGUGUAGUAGUGAUGAACUCUGAAGCUACAUGAAGUUUGGAGGUGUGUAGUGAUGAACUCUGAAGCUACAUGAAGUUUGGAGGUGUGUAGUGAUGUAGUGACUCUGCAGAAAGUUGGUGAACUCUUUGCACUAUGCUCCUCAGCAUCCGCUGACCCCGCUCUGUUAUUGUGAACUGACUGAACACAGAGUCGCUGUCAUUUCCAAUCUCGUCCACUGUGUUAUAACAUCACUGACAGUUGGCUGUGGAAUAUUUAGUAGUGAGUAGUGAAAUUUC